rnacentral:lncRNA from 10 species
AGAAGAAAGCCUCGGAUGGGCAUGAGUGCAACUUUCUAAAUACAGUGUGCAGUGAUCAGUUCCCAAGGAUGGUUCUUACAAGGAGAAAAUCCAGAAACUAUCAAUUGGCUACCUUGAUGUGAUCCUCUUCAUGAGGAAGCUUGGACUUCUCCCUGCUUCACAGAUGGGUUACGAGAUAGUCCAGAGAAGCUGCAUUCUAAGAAGCAUUAUGACCUGUCUUCUUAGAAACAACACGGCAUCACUUUUACCACAUUCUUUUGGUCACAAGGAGAGGGAAUUACACAUCACCUGAUUUUGGAUGCAUGUGUGAGGUAUGCUACUGUACUCACAAGACAUCUGAAACUAUACCCAGAUCAUCUAGAAGUGAACAUGUUCCAGGUGAUGUCCCUAUGUAAACCAAGGGUUGGUUUUCAGUGCUCUGAAGGCUGGGAAAUUUAAAGUCAAGGACCACCAGGUUUGGUGUCUGGUGAAGGCUGCUCUCUUUGCCUUUGAGAUGAUGUCCUGUUUCUGUGUCCUCCUGAGGGAAUGAACACUGUGUCCUCACAUGGUUGGCAGAAUCAGAAGUGGAAAAGGGGCUUAAGCUAGCUCCCUCCAGCCCAUUCAUAAGGCAUGUAAUCAUUUAUCUAAAAGGCUCACCUCUUUAUACUACCACAAUCAGGAUGAAGCUUCAAUGUGCAUCUGGGAGGGGACACACAUUCAAAUUGUAGUCCAUGGGUUACUUUAAUCAAACUCCAAUUUUUUAAAUAUUUACUCCCCUCUUAGUUCAUUUAGAAUCUUGUCACCAUGUUCUGUACACAGUUUUAAUUUCUCUCUUUCUCUUUUUCUUUUGAUAAGGGUAAACUCUUUUGUACAUAUGAUGAGUCUAUAAAGUCUUGACAAUUUUAUGUAUGUAAUAUUUCAUAAAAUUUCACAAAUACUUUAUUAUACCUAUCCUUUGAAAUCAGUAUGAGAAAAUCUAAUAAAAUUUUUUUA